AGACCCAACACACUGGGCCAAGACCAGAGUAAGACAGAAACAAAUGGACUUAAACCAGGCAAGCCCAAAGAUACAAUUGCAUAACAGCAAACAGAGGACCCAAGACCUACUUCCACGACAGCGCCGCCGACCACAAAACUGGAGUCGCGAUCCGGCAGAGAUCGGAGAAGAAGGCAAGAGAAACUUGCUGCACCUUCAUGUAUCUGAGUUCCAAACAAGCACCAAGCCAACUGCAAUCCAAAUAAGAAAACAUGAAAAUCAGACCUCAAACAAUCUUCGUGAGGAAGAGCUUCUUCUGCCAAGAUAUCAACUAGACAAGCUAGAUGAAGAAAGAGGGAGGUUAGAUCCGUAUAUGGAUCAAAGAGACAGGCACAAGUGCAAGCAGUCCCUUGUAGCAUCCCCCGGUGCUCAAUCGGGAUAUACCCUACUCGAUUUAAGCUCCUAGGAGCAUAUUUACAGGAAUCGGCAGAUUGAAAGAGAUAAGAGCCGCCACCAUUGGCGACCCGCAAUGAGAACACCAAGUUUGAGGAGGAGAAAGUCAGAUCUGGAAAAAAGAGGGCAUGGGACAAGAGGAACUGACCGAGACGAAGAAGACAAAGAAAGAUAACAGACCAAACAAAGUAACCGGAAAGCCGAAAGGAGAGGCAUAUCGCCUCAGAUCGGAGUAGAACUCCGAGGAAAACCGGCCAAGACGGCUGGAGGAUAGAUCCUAACAAGGGUGGAACCGAUAUAGAAGACAUACUUCUAGAUAAGGGAAAUAACAAGAAAGCAGGAAAUUGAGAGUCUCCCCCGAUUCUUAAGCCAAGGUUCUAGAUCGGAAAGAUCUAGAUCUGGCCAAAGAAUGGGGGAGGAGGGACACAGACUUGCUGGGGGGUUUCUAGAGAGAAGGGAGACGUUCUCUCUCUAGAGUAUGGAAAGUUGAAUCCGGUUUUUUCCUGCCUGCUGCAGAUUACAGCCCCAAAAUGGGGUUUCAUCAGACUUUUUGGUAUAUGCUUGCAUGACUAUCCUUUCUUUUUUCAGAUAUUGAUGAGUGCUCGAUGCUAAGAUCAUGCGUCAAUGGAGCGUGCGUUAAUAUGCCAGGAAAUUACUCCUGUGUAUGUCAUAAGGGAUACAGAAACUACACCACCCUUGACGGACGCUUCUGCAUUGAAGAUGAUCCCGGCACUAAACAAGCUCCUCUCUUGCUUAUUUAUAUGUGUAAGUAUAUAUGUACAUAUUACUAUAGCUACUACCCUGCAUCUAAUUUCUUUGUUAGUAUUUCUGUUUCUAAUUUUACCUCAGUUAAUGACUACACAUCUUGAAUCAUUCAGUUGCCGCCGGCAUUCCGGGAAUCUUGUUUCUAGUAAUCGGUACAUGGUGGUUUUACAAAGCCAUUAAGAAGAGGAAAAG
rnacentral:lncRNA from 1 species